GUCACCGUAGCUUAAGUAAAGCGUUUUUUGGUUUUUUUAAUCAAAUUAAGAUGGUGGUUCAAAUCCGCCUGGUGUCU
rnacentral:tRNA from 1 species